rnacentral:rRNA from 1 species
GCCUUCGGGCUCUGGUGAAAUGGGCUACCCGCAGCGAAGCUCCUGCCGCCUGCAUGCGCCGCACAGCGCACGAGGCAAGGAGAACGUUCACAGACUAGGCGGAAGUGGGUGGGGCUCAGCGGCCCUGCUUAAGAUAUAGUCGGGCCUCGAGGGAAACUUCGGGGGCGUACAGCAAACCGUUCCGUAGGUGAACCUGCGGAAGGAUCAUUA